rnacentral:lncRNA from 1 species
AGGCCUGCACUCUCAUGAUUUGGAGAUAGCCUCGUAGAAAUGACAACCACAAUGUUAAUACUAACAUAUGUAUUACAUGGUUUGUUUGUUCUUUCGCUUAAUAUUUUCAGAGCACCUACCUAUUAUAGGCACUGUCACUUCUCACAAAACUGGGACAACUAACUGUUUAUCCAACAUCUGCUGGCUAAAUAAAGACAUGAUCUUCACCUUUUGGGAUUGUUAAUUUAAAAUGGUUCCAUAAGAGCAAUGCAAAGACAGAGAUAUUUGGCAGCACUGCAGCUGGUGAUUUAUAUGGCUCUUCACAAGGUGUUAUUUUGGGGUAUCAAGGUAUGGAUGCUUAAAUCAGCUGCAGGAAGUAAGAAAGAAGAAAAAAGGAGUGAUAAAGAUAAAAAAAAAUCAACCUUGGUCCUUCCACCAAGACCCAUUAAUUUCCAUAUCAUCAUCUGCAUAAGAGGGAAGAUUCCUACAUGACCAGGUUACUGCAAGGAUGUGAAUUUUGAAUAUUAAAAUAUUAUACACAAUUGGAAAUAA